AUGAAGGGAGCAAUGCAGCCGCGGCCGUUCAUGAUGCACGGGCCGGGGGGCCCGAUGGCGCCGCCGCAGCAGCAGUUCGGGCUGACGGAGACGCGCCCGCCGCUGGCCGCCAUGCUGCGGCCCCGCUUCAACAUCCCGGGCCUCAACCCCUCCGCCGCCGCCGCCAGCGCGGCCGGCAAGAUCUCCUCCACCUACGACCUCGUUGAGCCGAUGCGCUUCCUCUACGUGCACGUGGUCAAGGCGCGGGACCUCCCCGCCGUCUCCCCCACCGGCUCCAUCGACCCCUUCGUCGAGGUCAAGCUCGGCAACUUCAAGGGCACCACCGCCGUCCUCGCCGGCCACCACAGCCCCUCCUGGCACCAGGUCUUCGCCUUCUCGGCCACGCACCUCCAGUCGCAUCUGCUCGAGGUCGCCGUCAAGGCCAAGGAUCUCGCCGGCGGCGACGACAUGGUCGGCCGCAUAGGGUUCGACCUCUCCGAGGUGCCGGUCCGCGUGCCGCCGGACUCCCCGCUGGCGCCCCAGUGGUACAGGCUCGACGGCAAGCGCGGGGAGAAGCUCCACCACGGCGAGAUCAUGCUGUCGGUCUGGCUCGGGACCCAGGCUGACGAGGCGUUCCCGGAGGCCUGGCAUUCCGAUGCACACGGGGCGGCUGGCCCUUCGGCCGUCGCCUCCACGCGCGCCAAGGUAUACUUCUCGCCCAAGCUCGUGUACCUCCGCGUCGCAGCCAUCGGGGCGCAGGACCUGGUGCCCCACGACACGUCCCGCCCCAUGAACGCCUCCGUCAAGCUGCAGCUCGCCGGGCAGGUGCGGCGCACUCGCCCGGGCGGGCCGCCGGGGACGCCCAACCCGAUGUGGAACGAGGAGUUCAUGUUUGUCGCGUCGGAGCCAUUCGACGAGCCCUUGCUCGUCACCGUGGAGGACCGCGUCGGGCCAGGCCGUGACGAGCCGCUCGGGCGCAUUAUGCUGCCCCUCAAUGCCGCAAUGACGCGGCAUGACCACUUCGGCAAGCCCGUGGAGCCGCGCUGGUACAGCCUUGCGCGUCCCAGCGACGACGGCGAGAAGAAGGAGGGCAAGUUCGCGAGCAAGAUACAGCUUCGGAUGUCGCUGGACUUUGGGUACCAUGUUCUUGACGAGUCGACUUACUACAGCAGCGAUCUCCAGCCAUCAUCAAAGCACACCCGGAAGCCGAGCAUUGGGAUCCUUGAGGUGGGGGUUCUGGGUGCUCGCAACUUGAUUCCCAUGAAGGCCAAGGAUGGUCGCAGCACCGACGCUUACUGCGUUGCCAAGUAUGGUCCGAAAUGGGUGCGCACAAGAACCAUCAUGAACACGCUGAAUCCGCAAUGGAAUGAGCAGUAUACCUGGGAGGUGUUCGAUCCAUGCACCGUGAUCACGGUGGUGGUGUUUGAUAAUAGCCAGAUUGGGAGCAAGAAUGGCGAUGCCCGGGAUGAAAGCAUUGGCAAGGUCAGAAUUCGUCUCUCGACACUGGAGACUGACCGGGUGUACACCCAUUUCUAUCCUUUGCUUGCUCUUAAGCCAAGUGGCCUCAAGAAGACCGGUGAGCUGCAUUUGGCUGUGCGGUUUACUUGCACGGCAUGGGUGAACAUGAUGGCAAUGUAUGGCCGUCCGCUGCUGCCGAAGAUGCACUACUCACAGCCAAUAUCAGUGAUGCAGUUGGACUACCUGAGGCACCAGGCGAUGCAGAUUGUUUCGGCAAGGCUUAGCCGUGCUGAGCCUCCUCUGCGGAGGGAGGUGGUGGAGUACACGCUCGAUGUGGGCUCUCACAUGUUCAGUCUCCGGCGCAGCAAGGCCAACUUCUAUCGCAUCACCUCUCUGUUCUGUGGCUUUGCCUCAAUGGCCAAGUGGUAUGAUGGCAUCAGGAGCUGGCGAAACCCGAUCACAACAAUGCUGGUGCACAUGUUGUUCCUCAUACUGAUCUGCUACCCGGAGCUCAUCCUGCCAACCAUCUUCCUCUACAUGUUUAUGAUUGGACUGUGGAACUAUCGCUUCCGGUCAAGGCACCCACCACACAUGGAUACCAAGCUAUCGCAGGCUGAGUUUACACACCCUGAUGAGCUUGAUGAGGAGUUUGACACAUUCCCAUCCAACAGGCCAGCUGACAUUGUAAGGUUGCGCUACGACAGGCUGAGGAGUGUUGGAGGUCGUGUGCAGACGGUGGUCGGGGACCUUGCGACGCAAGGUGAGAGAGCCCAUGCGCUGCUGAGCUGGAGGGACCCUCGUGCCACCGCAAUCUUUAUAUUCUUGUCCCUGGUGGUGGCCAUUGUGCUGUAUGUGACGCCGUUCCAGGUUUUGCUGGUCAUCACUAUGCUCUACUUGCUGCGCCAUCCCCGGUUCCGCAGCAGGAUGCCCUCUGUCCCGUUCAACUUCUACAGAAGAUUGCCUGCCAAGUCCGAUUCGCUUAUUUGA
rnacentral:rRNA from 1 species